rnacentral:rRNA from 1 species
GUGAGGAAUAUUGGUCAAUGGACGGAAGUCUGAACCAGCCAUGCCGCGUGCAGGAAUAAGGUCCUAUGGAUUGUAAACUGCUUUUAUUCGGGAAUAAACCUCUUUACGUGUAGGGAGCUGAAGGUACCGAAGGAAUAAGCACCGGCUAACUCCGUGCCAGCAGCCGCGGUAAUACGGAGGGUGCAAGCGUUAUCCGGAAUCACUGGGUUUAAAGGGUACGUAGGCGGUUAAUUAAGUCAGUAGUGAAAGACUGUCGCUCAACGACGGAUGUGCUAUUGAUACUGGUUAACUUGAAUCAGGUUAGAGUUGGCGGAAUGGGUCAUGUAGCGGUGAAAUGCUUAGAUAUGACUUGGAACACCGAUAGCGAAGGCAGCUGACUGAGCCUUGAUUGACGCUGAGGUACGAAAGUGUGGGUAGCGAACAGGAUUAGAAACCCGGGUAGUCC